rnacentral:rRNA from 1 species
AGUCAUACGCUCGUCUCAAAGAUUAAGCCAUGCAUGUGUAAGUAUAAAUAUUUAACUUUGAAACUGCGAAUGGCUCAUUAUAUCAGUUAUAGUUUAUUUGAUGAAAAGUACUACUUGGAUAACCGUAGUAAUUCUAGAGCUAAUACAUGAUAAAAUCCUCGACUUUGAAGAGGUGUAUUUAUUAGAAUGAAACCAAUAGACUUCGGUCUGUUUGUGAGUAAUAAUAACUAAUCGUAUCGCAUGCUUAGGUAGCGAUAUGUCUUUCAAGUUUCUGCCCUAUCAGCUUUGGAUGGUAGUGUAUUGGACUACCAUGGCAGUAACGGGUAACGAAGAAUUUGGGUUCGAUUUCGGAGAGGGAGCCUGAGAGAUGGCUACCACAUCCAAGGAAGGCAGCAGGCGCGUAAAUUACCCAAUCCUGACAUAGGGAGGUAGUGACAAUAAAUCACAAUGCGGAACUAUUAGUUUUGCAAUUGGAUUGAGAACAAUGUACAAAUGUUAUCGAUAAACAAUUGGAGGGCAAGUCUGGUGCCAGCAGCCGCGGUAAUUCCAGCUCCAAUAACGUAUAUUAA